rnacentral:lncRNA from 1 species
AUGCAAAUCACAGUCCAGCUCCGUGUCCCUUCACCUCCACUCUGGGCACAGGAAGGGAUGUGUGGUGAGAAAUCUCGCCCCGGCUCUCCUGCCCUGCCUGGUCAGCCCCCUCAGCCCAGGCCCUGUGCUCUGACCCAGAGGGCACCCCAGAGAGCUCAGAAUGAAGUCGUCAGGCAUUGUCCUUUCUUCCUUCCAGCUCUGUGGGUCCCGGGGGAGAGAGUGGCCAGAGGAGCAGGGGGAGGUGGGGAUGAGCCCAGUGCCCGGUUGUGGUUGUUGGGCAACAUCUCCCACGCAGGAGUCUCCUUGCCCUACAAGGAAGCCUUCUGGGGGGAGAGGGAAGGUUUUCUCUUCCUCCCGCCCACGGCACCUGGACCCGCCCUGCAGUUCUGUGACACAUGCUUUCCUAGCAGUUACCUUCACCAGGACCACAUCCGAAGCCAGACCCACUGAUGAAUGGACCUCUCUGAAUCUGCAUGACCAUCACGGGACCCUGCCUGGGGGGAGGGGGUGAUACUCACCGCGCUGCCAUUAGGGUGGCUUGGGUCGUGUGCCCAUCCGGGAGCACAGCCAGGUCGGGAAGCGGGCUGCAAACCAGGCACUCGACCCGGUCGACCAGGCAGGAGGGAGAUGUCAGCCCCUCGAUUUUCCAGACCAGAACCGAGGCUCAGAGAAGUGGGAACCCGGGGGGGCGGGAGGGCAGCUGUGGGCCUGGUGGGGGUGGGGAGGGAAGAUGGACCAGAAGGGAAGGGGGAGGGGGAAGGGGGAGGUGUUUCACCCAGCUCCAGGCCCAGACCGGUUGCCCCCACUGAACCCAGGUCUCCAAAGAGGGGCCAGUGCAAGACAAGCCAGCGGCACAUUGAAGAAAUUUUUGCAUUUCUCCUUCUUUAUUUUUGAGACAGAGAGGGAGGGAGGGAGGGAGGGACACCGAGUGGGGGAGGGGCAGAGAGAGAGGAAGACACAGAAUCCCAAGCAGGCUCCAUGCUCGGAGCCGUCAGCCCAGAGCCCGACGCGGGCCUCGAACUCACCGACCGUGAGAUUAUGACUGAGCCGAAGUCGGACGCUUAACCGACCGAGCCCCCCCCCCCCCAGGCGCCCCGUCUCAUGCUUUUAAAAUGUCAACUUUUGUGGUUACAUAAAAUACACACCUAUUAACAAAGCAACUGUGGUUUAUAAAUAACUAAACCGCCAGGCUCUGGAACACGCGAGAACACCGCCCCCCACCCCGGUCGGCUGCAUGCAGGGACUCCCGCAGGGCAGGUGCCGAGGAAACCUUCAGGUGUCCGAAGCGAAGGCGCCCCGGGCCUGGGGGUGUCGGGGCGGGAGGCCGCGAGGGACGGGGAAGGGGCGGCGGGUUCGCGUGGCAGCCGCCGACAUCCCGC